rnacentral:lncRNA from 1 species
AAAAUAUAAACAAUUUUCAGCCCUUAGAUCAUCAAGAUUUACGGUUGAUUCGUAACCCUGUUGGAUGAAUUCGUGGUCCUGAGUUCGAAUCUCAAAGGUAGCAAAAAAUUAUUUUUCAUAAUUCGUAACCCUGUUGGAUGAAUUCAUACGUGUUCUACAUAAAAUUCGUACAUUGAAAAAUGUUUUUAUUUUUAUUUUAAGAAGUG